rnacentral:rRNA from 1 species
GACGAACGCUGGCGGCGUGCCUAACACAUGCAAGUCAACUUGACUGAAGGAGCAAUCUGACAGUAGAGUGGCGCAAGGGUGCGUAACGCGUAAGUAACUUGCCCCAAGGUAAGGAAUAACGUCGAGAAAUCGGCGCUAAUACCUCAUAAUGCAGCGGAUCCGCAUGGAUAUGUUGUUAAAGGUUUACCGCCUUGGGAUAGGCUUGCGUCUGAUUAGCUAGUUGGUGUGGUAACGGCACACCAAGGCUACGAUCAGUAACUGGUCUGAGAGGAUGAUCAGUCACACUGGAACUGAGACACGGUCCAGACUCCUACGGGAGGCAGCAGUGAGGAAUAUUGGGCAAUGCUCGAAAGAGUGACCCAGCAACGCCGCGUGGAGGAUGAAGGUAUUCUAUAUCGUAAACUCCUGUGAGAGCAGACGAAAAGACAGAUUAUAAUCUGGAUGACUGUAUG